AACGCGAAGAACCUUACCAGGUCUUGACAUCCUCUGACAACCCUAGAGAUAGGGCUUCUCCUUCGGGAGCAGAGUGACAGGUGGUGCAUGGUUGUCGUCAGCUCGUGUCGUGAGAUGUUGGGUUAAGUCCCGCAACGAGCGCAACCCUUGACCUUGGUUGCCAUCAUUAAGUUGGGCACUCUAAGGUGACUGCCGGUGACAAACCGGAGGAAGGUGGGGAUGACGUCAAAUCAUCAUGCCCCUUAUGACCUGGGCUACACACGUGCUACAAUGGACGGUACAAAGAGCUGCAAGACCGCGAGGUGGAGCUAAUCUCAUAAAACCGUUCUCAGUUCGGAUUGUAGGCUGCAACUCGCCUACAUGAAGCUGGAAUCGCUAGUAAUCGCGGAUCAGCAUGCCGCGGUGAAUACGUUCCCGGGCCUUGUACACACCGCCCGUA
rnacentral:rRNA from 1 species